UACGGAGGGUGCGAGCGUUGUCCGGAAUCACUGGGCGUAAAGGGCGCGUAGGCGGCCUGAUAAGUCGGGGGUGAAAUCCUGGAGCUCAACUCCAGAACUGCCUUCGAUACUGGCGACCUUGAGUCCGGGAGAGGUGAGUGGAACUCCGAGUGUAGAGGUGAAAUUCGUAGAUAUUCGCAAGAACACCAGUGGCGAAGGCGGCGCACUGGCCCGAUACUGACGCUGAGGUGCGAAAGCGUGGGGAGCAAACAGG
rnacentral:rRNA from 1 species